GGGUGGCCGCCAAGAGUGCACAGACUUUGAAGCAGGAAAAGACAGUCUCUAGAGCAACGUGGAAAGGAUCCAGAAUCGAAAACAUUCCUGGAAAUGGAGAGUCCUGACAUGAUGGCCCCAUGAUGAAAAUAACCCAGAUCCCUGAGUCACCAUGUGGACACGAGACACCAAGGAGAAAACAUGUGAACCUUAAUAAGUUUGGGGUGAGAGGAAGGGAUGUGGCCAGCGUGGAGGUUUGACCUCAUCUCCUGCACUCAGCUUAACUCUGCCAUACUAUUCUCCCACACCCUCGCCCAGCUUUCUGCUUCAUCAGCUGCCCAAGCCCGCACCCUGGACAACAUCUGAACAGAGUCAAGCCAAGAGUUGGCAACCACAGGUGCCCUUGUGGAUUCCUCCAGUGUCAGGACCUGAAUCCUUUCAGUAUGUCCAACGAGACUGCAAGGGUAACACUAAAGGGAAAAGAUUUUCCCAGAUUGUAUAAAUAAAUGA